GGUGGAUCUAAGGCACCAGUUUUGCAGGUGCGCAAGGUAGCUCAUGGAGGAUGUGUAAAUCGUAUACGUGCCAUGCAACAAAAUCCUCAUAUAUGUGCAUCUUGGGCUGAUGGUGGCCAUGUUCAGAUUUGGGACUUCAGCUCUCAUCUCAAUACUUUAGCAGGAUCAGACGCUAAAGUUUCCCAGGGAGAAUCUUCAGUUUUUAAUCAGGCUCCAUUGAUUUUGUUCAAGCACAAGGAU
rnacentral:misc_RNA from 1 species